GACGAACGCUGGCGGCGUGCUUAACACAUGCAAGUCGAACGAAGUGGCGAACGGGUGAGUAACGCGUAAUCAACCUGCCCUUCAGAGGGGGACUACAGUUGGAAACGACUGCUAAUACCGCAUACUGAAGGAGGGGAUUGCGUCUGAUUAGCUAGUUGGAGGGGUAACGGCCCUACAAGGCGAAGAUCAGUAGCCGGGCUGAGAGGAAGAACGGGCAAAUUGGGACUGAGACACGGCCCAGACUCCUACGGGAGGCAGCAGUGGGGAAUCUUCCGCAAGUGACGAAAGUCCGACGGAGCAACGCCGCGUGAGUGAUGACGGCCUUCGGGUUGUAAAGCUCUGUUAAUCGGGACGCGGUACCGGAAUAGAAAGCCACGGCUAACUACGUGCCAGCAGCCGCGGUAAUUC
rnacentral:rRNA from 1 species